AAGAAGCUAGUUUAAAAAAAAUGUAAAGUUGUCAAUUUUGUGAUACUAAAUUAGUGCUUUUUA
rnacentral:tRNA from 1 species